rnacentral:lncRNA from 1 species
AGGGUAGGAAGAGAAGUAUAUUCCAAAGAAAAUUUGACAGAAAGGAGAGAAAGGGCUCUCCGGCUUCCUUUGCAGUUUAUGCACAGCUUUUAGUUUGUACAAUUUUUUUUCAGUAUAGCUCUGUGCCAAAAGAGCUGGCUCAGUUGAGCAUGUGGAGGAAAAUUCAUGGCCUGAGUCAGUCCCAGGCCACAUCAAACAAAGCAAGGCAUUUUUGUCCUUCCUGGCAGGGACAGCAGCAGGGAGAUUAUAAAGGAUUUUGGUCAAGGGAGUGUCGUAAUGAAUAUCCUGUUCUAGGAGCCCUGAGGCUCUGGAUGGAUUGGAGGAGAGACAAUGAACGCCUUGCCCUAAGUCACAGCCCUGUUGCUCUCUGGUUGAGUGUCGGCAGAGCCCCAGAUGGAUUUACUGGUCAGUGCAGGUCAUUGGAAUGGUGGUCUCACUGCAGACUUCCUGGCUUCCUGUGCAGAGCUCUUUCCACCACCCCAGCUAACAGGAUCUGUGGUCUCCUCUAUCUCUGUGGUGCCUUCAGAAUCUCGUGUUUCACCUGGGUCUGGAGAAGUGCUCUGUCUGACCAAUAUGUCACAGGCUCUUCAGACACCAGGUCUGAGGGUUUGGACAAGCCCUGCUCCUUGCAAGGGAGCUUAAUGGGACUUGACAUAAAAGCUGCCCACAACGACAUUUUGAGUUUACUGAGCAGAAACUGAGAUCCACUUGCAAAAUUACUUUAAGGGCUGAAUUGGAUGGGCCUCAUACUCCACUUUCAGAAAAUCCUUUCAUAAAUGAUUAACUAAUGACACAAAAUGAAAAUGUUGCCAGUUGGCUGUUGACCACAUGGUGCAAAUUGCCUCUCCAGCUUGAAGGUCACCAGUGUCUCCAUUAACAUUUGGGACAUGGAUAUCCUAAGUUUGACCUUGGAACAUUUGAGGAAAUAGCCUGAUUUUUAAACGAUAUUUUUUAUUGAGGUAUAAUUUCUAUAGAGAGAAAUGCUCAGCUCUAACCUACAGAGUUUGAUGAAUUUUGACAAAUUUACACGAGUGUAACCACCAUCCCAAUCAAGACAAAACAUUUCCAUCACCUAAAAAGUUCCCUUUUGCCCUUUUUCAGUCAAUCCCAACUGUUCUGACUUCGAUCAUCAUAGAUUGUUUUUGACUUUUCUAGAGUGUCUGUUAUGGACUGAAUGUUUGUAUCCCUUCGAAAUUCAUAUGUUGAAACCUUAACCCUCCAGUGUAAUGGUGUUAGGAGGUAGGGCCUUUGGGAGGUGAUUAGGCCAUGAGGGUGGAGCCCUCAUGAAUGGGGUUAGUGCUCUUCUAAGAGGGAUCCCAGAGAGAGCCCUUACCCCUUCUGCCAAGUGAGGCCGCAGUGAGAAGAUGGCCAUUUAUGAACCAGGAAGCGGGACCUCAACAGACACUGAAUCUGCUGUCUCCUUGAUCUUGGACUUCCCAGCCUCCAGAAAUAUAAGAACGAAAUUCCUGUUGUUUAUAAAUCCUCCAGUCUAUGGUAUUCUGUUAGAGCAGCCCAAACUAGGACCGUGUCAUAUAAAUGGAGUCAUACAGGAUAUAGCCUUUUGUGUCUGGUUUCCUUCACUGAGCAAAAUAUUUGUGAGAUUCAUCCAUGUUGUUGUGUAUAUGGGUGGUCCCUUCCUUUCUAUUGCUGAAGAGUUUUCCAUUGUAUGUAUAUUCCACAGUUUGUUUAUCCAUUCAUCUGUUGAGGGACAUUUGGGUUUUUCCAGUUUGUAGCAGUUAAGGAUAAAGCUGCUUUGAACGUUUAUGUACCAGUCUUCGUGUGAGGUAGGUAGAAACUACAUAUGUCUAGGGUAAAAACACCUAGGAGUAGAAUUCCUGGGUCGUAAGAUAGGUGUAUGUCUAACUUUAUAAGAAACUUGUGGCUUGUUUUUUGUGUCACCUUCCUGAAAGGAUGUUCAGAAGUCAGCGUGCAAAGCCCACACCAAAACAACCUCCACAGGGAGAAGGUGGUAACAGAGGGUUGACAGCUUUUAUUGCAAAAAACUGUUUUAACCAAUUCCUGAAUUAACCAACUCCUGAGUCGUUUUUAUAAUUGGUGCUAACUUUGGUCUGUACCCAAGAAAAUGCUCAUUCACAUUAGUAACGGAAGCAGACUAAGCGGGGCAACAAGGAAGCAGACUAAGCGGGGCAACAAUACUGAAAAGCGCAGAAGGUUAUUUACGCCAAAAGGUUGACCACACCUUUCGGAAUUUUGCCUUAAGCUCAAGCAAUUACAGUUUAGCAGGGUGUUUAUUGAGAAAGUAAACUGUGGAAAGGUCACCCUUUGAAAAGCUAAUCUGAGUCCCGAAUUUUCACUGCUGUAGACUCCGUUUUAUCCAGGAAAGAUAAACAGGCUAUUCUGUGACUCUAGGGCCUGGCUGUCUGGGCCUUCACCCUCUGUUAGAUGUAUCAUCAAGCCGUAUUGCACAAGAAAGCAGCAUGAGAAAGCUUUUGUGUUUGGCAGACUAAACAGGGGCAAGGGGUCUGACCCUGGCUGGACCUGUGGGGAACUGGAGCAAAGGGGUCUGACCACAGUUAUGUGGAGGACCCCAGAACCCCUUGGAAAUGCUGCUUCCCUUGGCAAGACCUCAGAGGAAAUGGCUACCGGGUGGCUGGUGAGGCCAGGAACUAGGAAUUAUGGCCUAGAAAGCUCAUGCGAGAGGCUGGACUGGCACAGCCUCCCCACCUGGAAAGUGGGGCCAUCAGAAGUGGAAGCUAGAGCGGGGGCCUGCCGCCGUGGAACAGGAGCAUCGGCAGGCUGCUGGCACGUCUCGGGGGACCAAAACCACUGACGCUGCAUUUCCUGGCAGUGUUAGUUGUCCUCUCUCGUAGGAUGAAUCGUUGUCACCAUUCCUCAGACGCUUCCUGUCUUAGAAUUUUACACUCACGCCCUUUGCCAUGUGACUCUGCAGGCUCCCCAUUAGCGUGAGUGGAGGAGACCUCCUGCCACUGGUGCUGGCACGGCCAUGUGGCUUGUUUAGUCAGUGGGGUGUGGGCAGGAGUGAAUCAAGAGGCCUCAGGAGGCAUCGUGUGUCUCUGCCUAACUUUCUGUGGUUUGUUAUGCAGGAUUAUCAUAGCAUUUGCUCACUGACAUUUACACUAAUAAUGUUUCCUCCUGUUUCAUAAUAAUUCAAAUAGCAAUUUUUAACUGGCUGUUUUUAAUAAGACUGACUUUCCCAGCCUUCCUUGCAGCUAGGUGUGACCAUGUAACUAUUCUGGUCAAUGAGAGCGUGUUUGCACCUCCGUCUCGGGGCCGCAGGAACCUGGACUCAGGGACUAUUUAGACAACACUGAGUUGGAGCAUGGAUUGCGGCUAGCUGGACACUGGGCCCUCCGCUGGCACUGUGGUCACUGCUGGCCCCAGUGCCACCAAUGCCACAGGACACUGGAUGCCAUAGCCACCAACUCCACCAGAAGGAGUUCCGAUUAUGUUGUUCAGUCUGGAUUUAGAAGUCUCAGGAUGAAGGGGAGAUGGGAGACUAGAAAACAGAAAUUGCUCAAAAAGGAAUUGAGCCCUUUGGAUGGGAAACAGGAACUCCGGUGGAAUGCAGGAGGAAGGAUUGAGCAAGAGAGAAGCAGCUGCCAACCUAUCCGAAUGGAAACAAACACCUUGAACACGACAGUGGACUUGAAAUGUUACUAAACUUUUUGGCAGGUUUCUCCCCACUAACAAGCCCGACGCAGGAAUACAAGAAAAGAAUUAUUUCCCUUCCCCACUGCUGUGGUGUUUUCAGCUGAAGACAGUCUCAUGGAAGCAUCGACUGUCCCAAGUGGCUGACGAAUGCAGGAAGUUUGUGAAGUUGCGUUUCCCAGCAAAUGUUUUGUCCUUGGAAAGUCUUUCCCCGCCUCAGCCUUCUGCAUAAGGACUUCCCUGACAUCGAUAACAAGGUCCAUCCUCUCAUGAGGAAAGACGGCCGUGCCAGCAAAGUAUCCAGUGAAGGAAGCAGGACGUCCUGCUCAGAAGUCGCUCUUCCCCAGCCUGCCUGUGAACUUGGAAUUUAUUGCCU